rnacentral:lncRNA from 1 species
GUUCACUGCCUUGAAUCUGGUCUGACUUUCAAAGACACUACUCCCAAACCUCCAAUGUUAUUUGGCUAAACAAUUCCCACUUCCCGGAAGGUUCCCUUUAUUCCCUGUUUUUAUUGUUGACAUUUUAAGUUGGUGAUAGAGAAUGACUCCUUGCUAGAAGCUGGAGGCCGUGUCUAAGACAGAGAAGCUGAGUCAAAUGGCAGAAAGGUUUGACUUGUUUCUAACAGACAAAAAAUAUUCACCGUUCCAGGAACUUAGGUGUCCUGUGUACACACUGCCUGAAGAAGAGCAGAGAUUACAUAAUUCUUCAGAUAUUAUACUUGGCCAAGGUGAAGAAUUGAGGUAGCAUCCAGAAUUCUGGUUUGGCAACACAAGUACUUCACAAUAACGCAACACUAUUCCUAUAUCCAUAUGCCUAGAACACCCAGGCAUAUACUGGCGCUCAAUAAUUAUUUGUGGAAGGAAUGAAUGAAUAGAAAAAGAAAUCUAGAAAGGAAAUUACUGAUUUGAAGCUGAAGUGAGGGCAAAGAUAGGAUUGGAUUUGGCCAGCUUUGUUAUUGCCAAACUCAGCUCAUCGUGAGAAGUACAGUGCUAACCCUGGCGGAUGAAGAAAAUGAGUCCAAAGAGGUGGUUGGCCUUGAGCAAGCCCGUGAUGAAACUGGCAUGAAGACUCAGCUCUUCUAACCGUAAGCACACUUCCUCAUUUCCUGCUGUAUCUGUCAGAAACCCAGCAAGAAAUGUGUGGCAUACUCAACCGGGUAAUUGAGGAAAAUUUAAUAAAGGGACUACGUAAAAGUCUGGGCAGAGUUAAAAUGACCAGCAAGGGAAAUGAAACACUCGAGGUCAUGCAAAAUGGAGAGCUGCCACACCCCCAGGCCUGAGGGAAGCAAGGGUGGGAGCAGCUCUAGAACCCAGAGAGAGGAGACUGAGAAGGCACCUGAGGAACACAUGUAGAGGGUCACGGCCAAUUCGCUGCAAGCUGAGAGCUAGGGGAAUAAAUAGCCCAACCUCAUUCUUUUCUCAACUGGAAGCCAAAGAUCAAGUGAACUUGUUGAUUCACUUUAAAGAGGUCAACAUCCCAGGGCAUCAAGCAGAGUGAGGAAGGGUAGAGGGUGGAUUUGGAG